rnacentral:rRNA from 1 species
AGUGAACGCUGGCGGUAGGCCUAACACAUGCAAGUCGAACGGCAGCACAGUAAGAGCUAGCUCUUACGGGUGGCGAGUGGCGGACGGGUGAGGAAUACAUCGUAAUCUACUUUUUCGUGGGGGAUAACGUAGGGAAACUUACGCUAAUACCGCAUACGACCUACGGGUGAAAGCAGGGGAUCUUCGGACCUUGCGCGAUUGAAUGAGCCGAUGUCGGAUUAGCUAGUUGGCGGGGUAAAGGCCCACCAAGGCGACGAUCCGUAGCUGGUCUGAGAGGAUGAUCAGCCACACUGGAACUGAGACACGGUCCAGACUCCUACGGGAGGCAGCAGCGGGGAAUAUUGGAUAAUGGGCGCAAGCCUGAUCCAGCCAUACCGCGUGGGUGAAGAAGGCCUUCGGGUUGUAAAGCCCUUUUGUUGGGAAAGAAAAGCAGCAGGUUAAUACCACGCUGUUCUGACGGUACCCAAAGAAUAAGCACCGGCUAACUUCGUG